rnacentral:lncRNA from 1 species
CUAUGGAAAAUUUGGAGAUGCCCAAGUGGUAUCAUUUGAUUGUUUUCAAAAAGAUAAAGAUUUUCCUUAAUUUUCUGAUUUGGUGUGAUAAUUUCUUAUAAUAUUUUCUUCUUUUUGUUAAUAUAAAGAUUUCUCAUGGUUAUGCCACUAUAGCUUUAAUUGGUCCUCUUAAUUAUAUUUGUGCCGGUUUUUCUGUAGAA